UCUUCAAGAAGUUGCGGAUGCAAAAACAAUUAUUUCGGCCGACUAUAAAAAAUUUACUUUUUUUUUUUGGGUGCUCUGUGCUUUGAAUAAGAUUAAAUAGCUCUUAUUUUAACAAAGUAAUGCAUGUCAGUGGGGACUCUAUAGAAGAUGACUUCUUACCUUCCAAUUUAAAACUGAAAAGGAGUUUCCCUCAAGUUAAAUAUAUUAAAAGAAAAGCAUCUGCAGGGGACAGUGGAAAUACUGAUUACUCUCCAAAGCUUCUAAGUGAAAAUAAAAAGGAACUAAGAAAACUUAAAAAACUGAAACCUCAGUCUGCAUGUGAUAACGGAGAAGCUAAUAACUCUUUAAAACUUCGAAGUGAAAAGAAAAAGGAGCUGCGAAUCUUAAAGAAAAAGAAACUUCAGUUAGAACUAGAAAAAAGAGAUUUAGAGAUGGAAUCUUUUAUUAAUAAAAAUCAGUUUCAAUAUUUAUGGACUGAGUUUCAGAAUUUUCACUCAAACCUCACUGAUUUAGAGAUGGCUGACGUCAAAAUUAGCGAGUCGGAUAUGCUAACUUUACCAGCAAAUUUUGAAAAAUUAAGAAAAGAGAGAAAAUUUGUGUUGUUUCUUAAAACUAUUUUUCCUCAAUGGAAAGAAGAGUUCGCGAGAUCUUUAGAAACUCAUACUUUUAAGGGACUUGUAUAAUAAUGAACUUUUUCUUAUGAUUUAUUUAUAGCUUCCUUUUUGGUUUCUUGUCUAUUGCGUUAUUUUCUUCACUUUUUCCUAUCAGCUUAGUUAUAAUAAGACUUAAUUGACUCUUAAGUUAAUAAAAUAUAAUAUAGUCAGGAGCGCCACUUUUACUUAUUAUAGUUUCAGGAGCAAACAGAGCAAUCGAACUAAUAAAGGAACUUCAAGAGUUUCACGGGAUGUGCAAGAUAGCCAAGUUAUUUGCCAGACACAUCAAGACGGACGAACAGCUCCAGCUUCUCCGGUCCAGUGAAGUACGCAUCGCCGUCGGGACUCCCAACCGCCUUCUAAGGCUGCUUGAGCAAAAUGGGCUGGAUCUAACAGACUGCCGCUUAAUUGUUAUCGACAGCAUAAGGAAUGUUAAGAAAAAAACAAUUUUUACCGAAAGAGAGUCAAGAGAAGACCUCUUUUUACUGCUUAAGAAUAACAUAUUUCCCUUUUUAA